rnacentral:miRNA from 1 species
ACAGAUUGCUACAGACUGGUC